CAGUCGCCGCGGGAAUACGAAGGGUGCAAGCGUUACUCGGAAUUGCUGGGCGUAAAGCGUGUGUAGGUGGUUGUUUAAGUCUGUCGUGAAAGCCCUGGGCUCAACCUGGGAAUUGCGAUGGAUACUGGGCGACUAGAGUGCGGUAGAGGAUAGUGGAAUUUCCGGUGUAGCAGUGAAAUGCGUAGAGAUCGGAAGGAACAUCUGUGGCGAAGGCGACUAUCUGGGCCAACACUGACACUGAGACACGAAAGCGUGGGGAGCAAACAGGAUUAGAGACCCGUGUAGUCCCUGUCUCUUAUAC
rnacentral:rRNA from 1 species